UCACUCAGACUCAUUGACACUCAUUCAGACUUUCAAACUCAGAGGUAUCAAUUUUUAUCUAUGUCUUGACACUAAUAAUAGUAUUAUUACAUGACAUAUCUUUUUUAUUUAGCGUUAAAAGGAAGUUACAAAAGGAUUAAAGGAAAUGGACUUAAUAAAUUAAGGACUGGAAAAGGGCAGAUCAAACAUUUGCUGUAAUAACCAUGUCCACCAAUGCAAUGUCAGGUCACACAGCUUGCAAACUUACCACAGACAGUGAAGAGCAAAGUGAGGAUGACCUAAGUGCACCUCAAUCAAAUUGUCUAGCCAACAUGAAUAACAACAACAAUGAAGAG